rnacentral:misc_RNA from 1 species
AACGCACAUUGCGCCCAUUAGUAUUCUAGUGGGCAUGCCUGUUCGAGCGUCAUUUCAACCCUCAAGCCUUAGUUGCUUGGUAUUGGGAGCUUAUCCUAGGAUAAUUCCUGAAAAUCAUCGGCGGAGUCGUGUUGGCCCCAAGCGUAGUAAUUUUUCCUCGCUUCUGGUGGUUCCAGCGCUGGCGUCCAGCCGCUAAACCCCUAAUUUUUAAUGGUUGACCUCGGAUCAGGUAGGAAUACCCGCUGAACUUAA